rnacentral:rRNA from 1 species
UACGUAGGGUGCAAGCGUUAAUCGGAAUUACUGGGCGUAAAGCGCGCGUAGGCGGCUAAUUAAGUCGGGUGUGAAAUCCCCAGGCUUAACCUGGGAACUGCAUUCGAGACUGCAUUGCUAGAGUAUGGGAGAGGGAAGUGGAAUUUCCGGUGUAGCGGUGAAAUGCGUAGAUAUCGGAAGGAACAUCAGUGGCGAAAGCGACUUCCUGGACCAAUACUGACGCUCAUGUGCGAAAGCGUGGGGAGCAAACAGG